UACGUAGGUGACAAGCGUUGUCCGGAAUUAUUGGGCGUAAAGCGCGCGCAGGCGGUCCUUUAAGUCUGAUGUGAAAGCCCACGGCUCAACCGUGGAGGGUCAUUGGAAACUGGGGAACUUGAGUGCAGGAGAGAAGAGUGGAAUUCCACGUGUAGCGGUGAAAUGCGUAGAUAUCUGGAGGAACACCGGUGGCGAAGGCGGCAUCCUGGACCGGUAUUGACGCUGAGGCGCGGAAAGCCAGGGGAGGCAAACGGG
rnacentral:rRNA from 1 species